rnacentral:rRNA from 1 species
UGGGGAAUCUUGGACAAUGGGGGCAACCCUGAUCCAGCCAUGCCGCGUGAGUGAUGAAGGCCUUAGGGUCGUAAAGCUCUUUCGCCUGUGAAGAUAAUGACGGUAGCAGGUAAAGAAACCCCGGCUAACUCCGUGCCAGCAGCCGCGGUAAUACGGAGGGGGUUAGCGUUGUUCGGAAUUACUGGGCGUAAAGCGCACGUAGGCGGACCAGAAAGUUGGGGGUGAAAUCCCGGGGGCUCAACCCCGGAACUGCCUCCAAAACUAUUGGUCUAGAGUUCGAGAGAGGUGAGUGGAAUUCCAAGUGUAGAGGUGAAAUUCGUAGAUAUUUGGAGGAACACCAGUGGCGAAGGCGGCUCACUGGCUCGAUACUGACGCUGAGGUGCGAAAGUGUGGGGAGCAAACAGGAUUAGAUACCCUGGGUAGU